UUUAUGGAGAGUUUGAUCCUGGCUCAGAACGAACGCUGGCGGCGUGCCUGAGACAUGCAAGUCGUGGGAGAAAGUUGGGGCAACCCGGCGAGUACACCGGCGCACGGGUGAGUAACACGUGGACAACCUGCCCUUGAGACCGGGAUAACCCGUCGAAAGACGGGCUAAUACCGGAUAAGACCACGCGGAGUUCGCUUCGCGGGGUAAAAGGUGGCCUCUGCUCCUGCAAGCUAUCACUUGAGGAGGGGUCCGCGUCCUAUCAGCUAGUUGGCGAGGUAACGGCUCACCAAGGCAAAGACGGGUAGCUGGUCUGAGAGGAUGGUCAGCCACACUGGGACUGAGACACGGCCCAGAGUCCUACGGGAUGCAGCAGUCAGGAAUAUUGCGCAAUGGAGGAAACUCUGACGCAGCGACGCCGCGUGGGUGAUGAAGGCCUUCGGGUCGUAAAGCCCUGUCGGAGGGGAAGAAAAGUUCGCCGGCUAAUAUCCGGCGGACCUUUGACGGUACCCUCAAAGGAAGCACCGGCUAACUCCGUGCCAGCAGCCGCGGUAAGACGGAGGGUGCAAGCGUUGUUCGGAUUGACUGGGCGUAAAGGGCGUGUAGGCGGUUGGUCAAGUCCGAUGUGAAAGCCCGGGGCUCAGCUCCGGAAGUGCAUCGGAAACUAGCCAGCUGGAGCGCGAUAGAGGAGGGUGGAAUUCCUGGUGUAGCGGUGAAAUGCGUAGAUAUCAGGAGGAACACCGGCGGCGAAGGCGGCCCUCUGGAUCGUUGCUGACGCUGAGACGCGAGCGUGGGGAGCGAACGGGAUUAGAUACCCCGGUAGUCCACGCCGUAAACGAUGGAUACUAGCUGUUGGAGGUAUCGACCCCUCCAGUAGCGAAGCUAACGCGUUAAGUAUCCCGCCUGUGGAGUACGGUCGCAAGACUAAAACAUAAAGGAAUUGACGGGGACCCGCACAAGCGGUGGAUUGUGUUCUUUAAUUCGAUGAUAAACGAAGAACCUUACCAGGGUUUGACAUCCCAAGAAUUAUGUCGAAAGACGUGAGUGCUUUAUUGAACUUGGUGACAGGUGAUGCAUGGCCGUCGUCAGCUCGUGUCGUGAGAUGUUUGGUUAAGUCCAUCAACGAGCGCAACCCUUGUCAGUAGUUGGAUUUUUCUACUGAGACUGCCCCGGCAACGGGGAGGAAGGAGGGGAUGAUGUCAGGUCAGUAUUUCCCUUACAUCCUGGGCUAGAAACGCAAUACAAUGGCGAGUACAAUGCGCAGCGAAGCGGCAACGUGAAGCAAAUCGCAUCAAAGCUCGUCCCAGUUCGGAUUAGAGGCUGAAACUCGCCUCUAUGAAGUCGGAAUCGCUAGUAAUCGCAGAUCAGCAAGCUGCGGUGAAUACGUUCCCGGGUCUUGUACACACCGCCCGUCAAACCAUGAAAGUGACCAACACCCGAAGUCCGAUUCGUCGGCCUAAGGUGGGGGGCAUGAUUGGGGUUAAGUCGUAACAAGGUAUCCGUACCGGAAGGUGCGGAUGGAUUACCUCCUUU
rnacentral:rRNA from 1 species